rnacentral:tRNA from 1 species
UCCUCCGUGGCGCAAUUGGCUAGCGCGUCCGACUGUUAUGGGUUCAAUGACUAUCGGGAGGUUGACAGUUCAAGCCUGUCCGGGGGAG